rfam:Ixodes scapularis strain Wikel colony gcontig_1108379229022, whole genome shotgun sequence.
GCUGACUCGAGCUGCCCGUGCAAAACUGGAACCACUGCGUUGUUUUGUUCGUUCGGCUCGAGUUAGAA